AUUAAGGCAGACAUGAAUCUCGGUGCUUUGGUUGUUUUGGUGAGUCUCUCUCUCACGAGCGCCUCGACCACGAUUUCCAUCGUUGGAAAGUCGGGCCUGAAACUGAGCAAACCCGACGAAGAUGGCAUUUCUCUCGUGAUUUUUAGCGUUAGGAACCAGAAUGGAGAAUCUAGAGACUACGUGGUUGAGACGAAGAACAAAGAGUCCGACAGUUGGGAGUACGUAGACACCGAAGCCAACGCUGGACCAGGAGAUGAAGUAGAGUACAAGGUAGCCACGGUGCAGAACGGACUGUUAGUGGAAUCCAAAUGGACGUCAGUUUUCUUAGUGAAGUAUUUCGAACCAGGGCAGUUUCGCAGUCUCCGACAGACCGUGGUUUUCCGGGACGAUUUUAACCACUUCAAUAAAGGUCACUUCACAACGGAAGUGAGCGCCUGGGGCGGAGGGAAUGGUGAAUUCCAAGUGUACACCCCCGAGACUGCUAAUUUAUACACAGCUAAUGGCUACUUAUACCUUAAACCUACACUAACGGUUGACCACCAUUCCUUCAACGAAGGGACGCUAUACAACGGCCAUUACAUAUGGAAGAGUCAACGUUAGAGCCAGGGUUCCUAAAGGGGCGUUUUUAUGGCCAGCUAUUUGGCUGUUGCCGCGUGACAACCAUUACGGGAACUGGCCUCGUUCUGGAGAAAUAGAUCUUAUGGAGACAAAAGGAAACGCCUGGACCAGUGAAUGGGGAGGCGAUCACGGGAUCCGCUCAAUUGGUUCCACACUUCACUGGGGACCAGAUGCCGGACACAAUUGUUUCCAAAAAACUCACGGUGAAAAGUACCUGAACCAGCCCGAUGGAUGGCACGGAUGGCAUACCUACUCUCUGGACUGGACCAGGAAUCACCUAAGCAUUUUAGUCGACAACCAAGAGAUAUACAGACUGACCACCCCCGGGAAUGGGAUGUACAACUAUUGCCCCUAUCAUAACAUAGAGGACCCCUGGAGAAACGGUCCACAUAAUGCACCAUUCGAUCAACCAUUCCAUCUGCUUCUGAACGUGGCAGUGGGAGGAACCAGCGGUUUCUUUGCCGAGGGCCAGUACGAUGUGCCCAAGUCCUGGCGUAACGACUCGCCCCACCCCAUGAGGGACUUCUGGGAGCACAGAGGAGAGUGGCUGAAGACCUGGCACGGGGACGAUGUGGCCAUGUUGAUUGAUUACGUAGAAAUGAUCCAGUAUUAAACAUGUAUAAAUG
rnacentral:misc_RNA from 1 species